rnacentral:rRNA from 1 species
GUCCGUUUGAAGAUGUAAACGGUCUAGCCUGCUCACUGAUAAAAUUAUUUAAGAGCCGCGGUAUAUUGACUGUGCAAAGGUAGCAUAAUCAUUAGGGAUUUAAUUGAGACCUUGUAUGAAGGGUUGAACAAAAGAAAAGCUGUCUCUGUAGUUAAAUUGAAGUUUACUUUUAAGUGAAAAGGCUUAAAUAAAUUAAAGGGACGAUAAGACCCUAUAAAUCUUUAUAGAUAAUUUAAAUAUGGUUAAUUUAUAUAUAAAAAUUAAAUUUAGUUAUUCUAUUUUAUUGGGGUGAUAUGAGUAUAAUUGUUUAUUAACUGCUUAAAAAAAAAUCUUGAAUAAAAGAAUGAUAUAAAUGAUCCUUUUUAAAGAUUAAAAGACAAAGUUACUUUAGGGAUAACAGCGUUAUUUCUUUUGAGAGUUCAUAUCGAAAAAGGAGAUUGCGACCUCGAUGUUGAAUUAAAAUAUCUAUAUAAUGUAGCCGUUAUAAAAGAAGGUCUGUUCGACCUUUAAAUUUUU